UACAGAGGUCUCAAGCGUUGUUCGGAUUCAUUGGGCGUAAAGGGUGCGUAGGCGGCGCGGUAAGUCGGGUGUGAAAUCUCGGAGCUUAACUCCGAAACUGCAUUCGAUACUACGGUGCUUGAGGACUGGAGAGGAGACUGGAAUUCAUGGUGUAGCAGUGAAAUGCGUAGAGAUCAUGAGGAAGACCAGUGGCGAAGGCGGGUCUCUGGACAGUUCCUGACACUGAGACACGAAGGCCAGGGGAGCAAACGGG
rnacentral:rRNA from 1 species